rnacentral:rRNA from 1 species
GAUGAACGCUGGCGGCGUGCCUAAUACAUGCAAGUCGAGCGAACGGACGAGAAGCUUGCUUCUCUGAUGUUAGCGGCGGACGGGUGAGUAACACGUGGAUAACCUACCUAUAAGACUGGGAUAACUUCGGGAAACCGGAGCUAAUACCGGAUAAUAUUUUGAACCGCAUGGUUCAAAAGUGAAAGACGGUCUUGCUGUCACUUAUAGAUGGAUCCGCGCUGCAUUAGCUAGUUGGUAAGGUAACGGCUUACCAAGGCAACGAUGCAUAGCCGACCUGAGAGGGUGAUCGGCCACACUGGAACGGAGACACGGUCAAGACUCCUACGGGAGGGAGCAGUAGGGAAUCUUCCGCAAUGGGCGAAAGCCUGACGGAGCAACGCCGCGUGAGUGAUGAAGGUCUUCGGAUCGUAAAACUCUGUUAUUAGGGAAGAACAUAUGUGUAAGUAACUGUGCACAUCUUGACGGUACCUAAUCAGAAAGCCACGGCUAACUACGUG